rnacentral:rRNA from 1 species
ACGUCAAGUCAGCAUGGCCUUUAUAUCCUGGGCUACACACACGCUACAAUGGCAGAUACAAUAGGUUGCGAAACCGCGAGGUGGAGCCAAUCCUCAAAGUCUGUCUCAGUUCAGAUUGUAGGCUGCAACUCGCCUGCAUGAAGUUGGAGUUGCUAGUAAACGCAGGUCAGCUAUACUGCGUUGAAUACGUUCCCGGGUUU